rnacentral:rRNA from 1 species
GAGAAUUUAAAUAGCCGCAGUACCCUGACUGUGCAAAGGUAGCAUAAUCAGUUGGCUUAUAAUUGAAGUCUAGUAUGAAUGGGAACACGGGAAUAUUCUGUCUUUAAUAUAUAAAAAGAAAUUACUAAUUAAGUGAAAAUUCUUAAAAGUAAGAAAAUAGACGAGAAGACCCUAGAAAUUUUUUUAAUUUGAUUUUGUUGGGGCGACAGGGUAACAAAAAACUUACCUAAAGUAAUAGGAAAUUUUUUAGUGGUGUAAUUAAAUUACUCUAGGGAUAACAGCAUAAUAUUUUAAAGGUUGUGACCUCGAUGUUGGACUAGGAAAUACACUACUUAAAAGGUAGUGUUUAUGGUUCUGUUCGAACUUUUACUCCUACAU